UGGGGAAUAUUGGACAAUGGGCGAAAGCCUGAUCCAGCGACGUCACGUGAAUGAUGAAGACCUUAGGGUUGUAAAAUUCUUUUAGUGGAGAAGAUAAUGACGGUAUCCACAGAAAAAGUCCCGGCUAACUUCGUGCCAGCAGCCGCGGUAAUACGAAGGGGGCAAGCGUUACUCGGAAUUAUUGGGCGUAAAGCGUGCGUAGGCGGCUUUAUAAGUUGGAAGUGAAAGCCUUUGGCUCAACCAAAGAAUUGCUUACAAAACUGUAGAGCUAGAGUAUUAGAGAGGAUAGAAGAAUUUCUGAUGUAGGGGUGAAAUCCGUAGAUAUCAGAAAGAAUAUCGAAGGCGAAAGCAUCUGUCUGGCUAAAUACUGACGCUGUUGCACGAAAGCGUGGGGAGCAAA
rnacentral:rRNA from 1 species